AGUCGAGCGGGCACCUUUCGGGGUGUCAGCGGCAGACGGGUGAGUAACGCGUGGGAACGUACCUUCUGGUUCGGAACAACCCUGGGAAACUAGGGCUAAUACCGGAUACGCCCUUAUGGGGAAAGGUUUACUGCCGGAAGAUCGGCCCGCGUCUGAUUAGCUAGUUGGUGGGGUAACGGCCUACCAAGGCGACGAUCAGUAGCUGGUCUGAGAGGAUGAUCAGCCACACUGGGACUGAGACACGGCCCAGACUCCUACGGGAGGCAGCAGUGGGGAAUAUUGGACAAUGGGCGCAAGCCUGAUCCAGCCAUGCCGCGUGAGUGAUGAAGGCCUUAGGGUUGUAAAGCUCUUUUAUCCGGGACGAUAAUGACGGUACCGGAGGAAUAAGCCCCGGCUAACUUCGUGCCAGCAGCCGCGG
rnacentral:rRNA from 1 species